AGCCCAGAGCCUGAAUCAGUGUGUGUGUUAGUGGAAGCGUCUGGAAAGGCGCGCGAUACAGGGUGACAGCCCCGUACACAAAAAUGCACAUGCUGUGAGCUCGAUGAGUAGGGCGGGACACGUGGUAUCCUGUCUGAAUAUGGGGGGACCAUCCUCCAAGGCUAAAUACUCCUGACUGACCGAUAGUGAACCAGUACCGUGAGGGAAAGGCGAAAAGAACCCCGGCGAGGGGAGUGAAAAAGAACCUGAAACCGUGUACGUACAAGCAGUGGGAGCCUCUUUAUGGGGUGACUGCGUACCUUUUGUAUAAUGGGUCAGCGACUUAUAUUCUGUAGCAAGGUUAACCGAAUAGGGGAGCCGAAGGGAAACCGAGUCUUAACUGGGCGUUAAGUUGCAGGGUAUAGACCCGAAACCCGGUGAUCUAGCCAUGGGCAGGUUGAAGGUUGGGUAACACUAACUGGAGGACCGAACCGACUAAUGUUGAAAAAUUAGCGGAUGACUUGUGGCUGGGGGUGAAAGGCCAAUCAAACCGGGAGAUAGCUGGUUCUCCCCGAAAGCUAUUUAGGUAGCGCCUCGUGAAUUCAUCUCCGGGGGUAGAGCACUGUUUCGGCAAGGGGGUCAUCCCGACUUACCAACCCGAUGCAAACUGCGAAUACCGGAGAAUGUUAUCACGGGAGACACACGGCGGGUGCUAACGUCCGUCGUGAAGAGGGAAACAACCCAGACCGCCAGCUAAGGUCCCAAAGUCAUGGUUAAGUGGGAAACGAUGUGGGAAGGCCCAGACAGCCAGGAUGUUGGCUUAGAAGCAGCCAUCAUUUAAAGAAAGCGUAAUAGCUCACUGGUCGAGUCGGCCUGCGCGGAAGAUGUAACGGGGCUAAACCAUGCACCGAAGCUGCGGCAGCGACGCUUAUGCGUUGUUGGGUAGGGGAGCGUUCUGUAAGCCUGCGAAGGUGUACUGUGAGGUAUGCUGGAGGUAUCAGAAGUGCGAAUGCUGACAUAAGUAACGAUAAAGCGGGUGAAAAGCCCGCUCGCCGGAAGACCAAGGGUUCCUGUCCAACGUUAAUCGGGGCAGGGUGAGUCGACCCCUAAGGCGAGGCCGAAAGGCGUAGUCGAUGGGAAACAGGUUAAUAUUCCUGUACUUGGUGUUACUGCGAAGGGGGGACGGAGAAGGCUAUGUUGGCCGGGCGACGGUUGUCCCGGUUUAAGCGUGUAGGCUGGUUUUCCAGGCAAAUCCGGAAAAUCAAGGCUGAGGCGUGAUGACGAGGCACUACGGUGCUGAAGCAACAAAUGCCCUGCUUCCAGGAAAAGCCUCUAAGCAUCAGGUAACAUCAAAUCGUACCCCAAACCGACACAGGUGGUCAGGUAGAGAAUACCAAGGCGCUUGAGAGAACUCGGGUGAAGGAACUAGGCAAAAUGGUGCCGUAACUUCGGGAGAAGGCACGCUGAUACGUAGGUGAAGCGACUUGCUCGUGGAGCUGAAAUCAGUCGAAGAUACCAGCUGGCUGCAACUGUUUAUUAAAAACACAGCACUGUGCAAACACGAAAGUGGACGUAUACGGUGUGACGCCUGCCCGGUGCCGGAAGGUUAAUUGAUGGG
rnacentral:rRNA from 1 species